rnacentral:rRNA from 1 species
UACGUAGGCAGCGAGCGUUGUUCGGAGUUACUGGGCGUAAAGAGUGCGUAGGCGGCUUGGCACGUGGGGUGUGAAAGCGGCAGGCUUAACUUGCCGAGGCCAUCCCAUACGGCCAAUCUGGAGCCAUGCAGAGGCCCGUGGAAUUGCCGGUGUAGUGGUGAAAUGCGUAGAGAUCGGCAGGAAUACCGGAGGCGAAGGCGGCUCACUGGGACCUUUCUGACGCUGAGGAACGAAAGCUAGGGGAGCAAACGGGAGUUAGAAAAC